AAACCAGACAGUGGUGAGGGAUCAGUUAUCAGCGGCUGAGGGAAAACGAUUGGCACUAUUGUAGGUACGGCAGAUUUGGUUCCGAUGAUCCCGCUUCGGCGGUGACGCCCUCGGGCCGUAUCCCACCAGCGGUCACUUGAUUGUGAAUUGAGGACUUUGAUUCGAGACGGUGUCUCGACGAGGAUUUAUUCGGAUACGAUCUUUCUUAUU